CUGCUAUCGAGAUGGGACUAAGGUAUGCUAGUCGAACGACCAGAACUAUGUCUGGGAGUGGCACACUGCUCAGUAACACGUAGCUAACCUACCCUUAGGACGUGGAUACCCCCGAGAAAUUGGGGUUAAUCCGCGAUAGAUGUAAUGUCCUGGAAUGGUAUUACGUCUAAAGGUAUUUCAUACAUGUUUGAAAUAUGCCUAAGGAUGGGGCUGCGGCCGAUCAGGCUGUUGGUGAGGUAAUGGCUCACCAAACCUUUGACCGGUACGGGCCAUGAGAGUGGUAGCCCGGAGAUGGACACUGAGACAAGGGUCCAGGCCCUAAGGGGCGCAGCAACCGCGAAACCUCCACAAUGCACUCACGUGCGAUGGGGCUAUCUCGAGUGCCACCUGAUGAAGGUGGCUUUUCCUUGGUCUUCAAAGCCUUGGGAAUAAGAGGGGGGCAAGACUGGUGUCAGCCGCCGCGGUAACACCAGCCCCUCGAGUGGUGGGGAUGAUUAUUUGGCCUAAAGCGUCCGUAGCCGGCCGUGAAAGUCUUCCGUUAAAUCCAGCGUCUCAAGCGUUGGACCGCGGGAGAUACUACAUGGCUAGAGAGUGGGAGAGGUCAGCGGUAUUCUGGGGGUAGGGGCGAAAUCCUUUGAUCCCCGGAGGACCACCAGUGGCGAAGGCUGCUGACUAGAACACGUCUGACGGUCAGGGACGAAAGCUGGGGUAGCGAACCGGAUUAGAUACCCGGGUAGUCCCAGCCGUAAACGAUGCAUGCUAGGUGUUGGGUUGGCCACGAGCCACCCCAGUGCCGCAGGGAAGCCGUUAAGCAUGCCGCCUGGGAAGUACGAUCGCAAGAUUGAAACUUAAAGGAAUUGGCGGGGGAGCACCACCAGGCGUGAAGCCUGCGGUUUAAUUGGAUUCAACGCCGGA
rnacentral:rRNA from 1 species